rnacentral:rRNA from 2 species
AAAGUCUGAUGGAGCAACGCCGCGUGAGUGAAGAAGGGUUUCGGCUCGUAAAACUCUGUUGUUAAAGAAGAACAUAUCUGAGAGUAACUGUUCAGGUAUUGACGGUAUUUAACCAGAAAGCCACGGCUAACUACGUGCCAGCAGCCGCGGUAAUACGUAGGUGGCAAGCGUUGUCCGGAUUUAUUGGGCGUAAAGCGAGCGCAGGCGGUUUUUUAAGUCUGAUGUGAAAGCCUUCGGCUCAACCGAAGAAGUGCAUCGGAAACUGGGGAACUUGAGUGCAGAAGAGGACAGUGGAACUCCAUGUGUAGCGGUGAAAUGCGUAGAUAUAUGGAAGAACACCAGUGGCGAAGGCGGCUGUCUGGUCUGUAACUGACGCUGAGGCUCGAAAGUAUGGGUAGCAAACAGGAUUAGAUACCCUGGUAGUCCAUACCGUAAACGAUGAAUGCUAAGUGUUGGAGGGUUUCCGCCCUUCAGUGCUGCAGCUAACGCAUGAAGCAUUCCGCCUGGGGAGUACGGCCGCAAGGCUGAAACUCAAAGGAAUUGACGGGGGCCCGCACAAGCGGUGGAGCAUGUGGUUUAAUUCGAAGCUACGCGAAGAACCUUACCAGGUCUUGA